GAAGAAUGUUAAGGGGGAGAGAAAGAAUAAUGCUCAUGGCGUUUCAUUAGAUCAGCUUUGACAAGUGAGGAAGGAGAAAAGGAUACAAACAAAGACAUGUCGAUCUCCAAUUAUAUACUGAGUCUAACAAAGACUUACAAUUAUAACUCCGCAACAAAUACUUAUGAGAACACACGAACGUUCAAUCAGGAAUUAAAUAAUAACGACAACUGCUUAGGAAAAGAAAAUUCUUUCUUUAUACUACCUAUUACAAAUUAACGAGUCAGCUAGAAAACACAACGGAUUUACAUCAUUGGCCAUUGCUAAUAAAUAAUAAUAAGAUUAAAAAUGAAUAAAACCUUGUAGGUGUUUAGGUCAAAUCAUCUUUUAUACAACUCUACUCACAUUAGAGUUUUAUAAAAUAUGAGUUGAGAACUCACUAUUCAAAAAGUAUAAUUAAGAAAAAAAAUGUUAGCAGCGUGUGUAGCGAAUGCUCAUUUAAAAUA
rnacentral:lncRNA from 1 species